GUCAGAGAGCGUGGACAGUGAGUGAGGUUUGCCAUCAGCAAGGACCAUGUUACUGCUCUCCUUUCGCAAGAUCCUCAAAUGCUGUUACCAGGGAAAGAGCCAAAUGGACCAUCACACCCUCCUGAGUCACAUCCAAGUUUAAAUGACAUUUCUCAACUGGAAGAAGCCUUAGUGAAGCGGGUGAGUGCUUCUGCGCCUAGCCAAGUCUCCCCGCUGGCCGGCUAACUGGAGGAGCCUCUGGAUGGAUGUUGGAGAAAUGAACCAAGAGCACCGUCCUGGCUUCAGAGCCAACACCCUGGAGGAACUGUCGCAUCUGUCAUCCCAUGCUUUUCAGUCCUUUGGAUGCUUGGAGUCUCGGGGCUACUGGCGACGCCUAUGAGCUGGCUUGGGAUGGCUUUAGCCAUUAUAGAAGUGAUACUAUUAGCCUAAGACUUUUUUUUUUCUUCUUCUGUUUUUCUUCUACAUGUCCCUGCAGUUGUUUGGAGAGGCAAAUGGAAGGGAAAGAAGUACAGAGAAGUGUGGAGAAAUAAGAAGCUGGGGGAUAACAGAAAUUCUGUAACAGAGCAUGCGUAUGUGAGAAAUAUGUGCUGUUGUUCUCUUUCUCUAAGACCAUGAAUAUUUUAAUAGCCAUGCCAGGAAACGAUGUAAGCUUAGAACCAACCCCUUGAUUAAAGACAACGUGAGUCUUUCCA